CCUACGGGAGGCAGCAGUGGGGAAUAUUGCACAAUGGGGGGAACCCUGAUGCAGCGACGCCGCGUGGGUGAGGAAGUACCUCGGUAUGUUAAGCUCCAUCAGUAGGGAAGAAAAUGACGGUACCUGACUAAGAAGCCCCGGCUAACUACGUGCCAGCAGCCGUGGUAAUACGUAGGGGGCAAGCGUUAUCCGGAUUUACUGGGUGUAAAGGGGGCGUAGACGGCGUGCCAAGUCUGGUGUGAAAGGUCGGAGCUCAACCCCGGGACUGCAUUGGAAACUGGCAUGCUGGAGUGCCGGAGGGGCAGGCGGAAUGCCUGGUGUAGCGGUGAAAUGCUUAGAUAUUAGGAGGAACACCGGUUGCGAAGGCGGCUUGCUAGACGGUAACUGACGUUGAGGCUCGAAAGCGUGGGGAGCAAACAGGAUUAGAUACCCUGGUAGUC
rnacentral:rRNA from 1 species